rnacentral:rRNA from 1 species
UAGGGAAUCUUCGGCAAUGGGGGGAACCCUGACCGAGCAACGCCGCGUGAGUGAAGAAGGUUUUCGGAUCGUAAAGCUCUGUUGUUAAGGAAGAACGAGUGUGAGAAUGGAAAGUUCAUACCGUGACGGUACUUAACCAGAAAGGGACGGCUAACUACGUGCCAGCAGCCGCGGUAAUACGUAGGUCCCGAGCGUUGUCCGGAUUUAUUGGGCGUAAAGCGAGCGCAGGCGGUUAGAUAAGUCGGGAGUUAAAGGCAGUGGCUCAACCAUUGUAGGCUUUGGAAACUGUUUAACUUGAGUACAGAAGGGGGGAGUGGAAUUCCAUGUGUAGCGGUGAAAUUCGUAGAUAUAUGGAGGAACACCGGUGGCGAAAGCGGCUCUCUGGUCUGUAACUGACGCGGAGGCUCGAAAGCGUGGGGAGCGAACAGG